rnacentral:misc_RNA from 1 species
AGGAGUGUUGGAGUUGAUGAGAUUUUGGUAGUUCAAUAUUUAUGUGUACAAGAAAAGAAAAGAGUCAUACCUAAGCAUGGUGCAAGCAUGGCAUUAGCUGACAAAAGAAAGCAAACUUCACUAUGAAAAGGAACAGGUUGCUACUGGAAGAAGAAAGAGUGCAGAGAGAACUUGAGAGGGCUGAAAAGAGAGUUUGAGAGAUCUAGCA